AGCGAACGCUGGCGGCAGGCCUAACACAUGCAAGUCGAACGGGCACUUCGGUGCUAGUGGCAGACGGGUGAGUAACGCGUGGGAACGUGCCUUUCGGUUCGGAAUAAUCCAGGGAAACUUGGACUAAUACCGGAUACGCCCUUCGGGGGAAAGAUUUAUCGCCGAAAGAUCGGCCCGCGUCUGAUUAGCUAGCUGGUGAGGUAAAGGCUCACCAAGGCGACGAUCAGUAGCUGGUCUGAGAGGAUGAUCAGCCACAUUGGGACUGAGACACGGCCCAAACUCCUACGGGAGGCAGCAGUGGGGAAUAUUGGACAAUGGGCGCAAGCCUGAUCCAGCCAUGCCGCGUGAGUGAUGAAGGCCUUAGGGUUGUAAAGCUCUUUUGUCCGGGAAGAUAAUGACUGUACCGGAAGAAUAAGCCCCGGCUAACUUCGUGCCAGCCGCCGCAGUAAUAC
rnacentral:rRNA from 1 species